rnacentral:lncRNA from 1 species
UUGUAGAGUUGCUUGUAUAUAUAGAUUUUUCAGUUAUUGGUACUGAAAAAUACGGAUGAAAUUAAGACGCAGAACAAUAUCCAGUCGAGAAUAAGGUUAAAUCAGAUCAUAUUCAUAGUUGAUCAGAAGAGAAGGGGUGAUAAAAAUGGAGAGAGAAGAAGAUAAUAAAGAAGAUGGGACUGUAAAGAAGACGGCGGCAGAAAAUGGCUGUGACCUGAUUUUCCGGCGUGG